UGGGGAAUUUUGGACAAUGGGCGAAAGCCUGAUCCAGCAAUGCCGCGUGCAGGAAGAAGGCCUUCGGGUUGUAAACUGCUUUUGUACGGAACGAAAAGGCUCUUUCUAAUAAAGAGGGCCCAUGACGGUACCGUAAGAAUAAGCACCGGCUAACUACGUGCCAGCAGCCGCGGUAAUACGUAGGGUGCGAGCGUUAAUCGGAAUUACUGGGCGUAAAGCGUGCGCAGGCGGUUCUAUAAGACAGAUGUGAAAUCCCCGGGCUCAACCUGGGAAUGGCAUUUGCGACUGUAGAGCUAGAGUACGGUAGAGGGGGAUGGAAUUCCGCGUGUAGCAGUGAAAUGCGUAGAUAUGCGGAGGAACACCGAUGGCGAAGGCAAUCCCCUGGACCUGUACUGACGCUCAUGCACGAAAGCGUGGGGAGCAAACAGGAUUAGAUACCCAUGUAGUCCCUGAGCGGGCUGGCAAGGCGCAU
rnacentral:rRNA from 1 species